GUGGGGAAUAUUGCGCAAUGGGGGGAACCCUGACGCAGCAACGCCGCGUGAGUGAAGAAGGUCUUCGGAUCGUAAAGCUCUGUCUUUGGGGACGAAAGAGAUGACGGUACCCAAGGAGGAAGCCCCGGCUAACUACGUGCCAGCAGCCGCGGUAAUACGUAGGGGGCGAGCGUUGUCCGGAAUUACUGGGCGUAAAGGGUGCGUAGGCGGCUGUCUAAGUCAGAUGUGAAAUACCAGGGCUUAACCCUGGGGGUGCAUAUGAAACUGGGCAGCUUGAGUGCAGGAGAGGAAAGUGGAAUUCCUAGUGUAGCGGUGAAAUGCGUAGAGAUUAGGAGGAACACCAGUGGCGAAGGCGGCUUUCUGGACUGUAACUGACGCUGAGGCACGAAAGCGUGGGGAGCAAACAGGAUUAGAAACCCUAGUAGUCC
rnacentral:rRNA from 1 species